ensembl:lncRNA
GUUUUAAAUGAGGUGAAACAAAAGUUUAAAAAUGUUAAUGAUUAAAAAGUUGAUAUCUAGUGUCUCUAAGGAAAAUAAUGAACACUUUAUCGCAUUAAGCGUUGUUUUAAGACUGUGAUGCAGUAAUUCAGGGUUCAGCCUAUUUGAUGGUUGGUUUUAACGCACCGUCAUGGCUUAAAAAAGGUGGCUUCCAAACUCUAAACGGAGGAGGGGCACUGCUGGUCAUGUUAAGUCAUGAUGCUUAUGAAUUCACUUUUAUUCGCCAAUUAUACAAAGGUUUUUGUUGAAAUCUGACUAGUAAAUUUCCGUCUUCUCUAGUAGCAGACCAAUUGAAACGUGUUAGAGUUUUGUAUUUUUUAACCAGGGACUUUAAAGCGCUCAAACUCCUCAUUUGGAAAGUUUUGAACAAGUUGUAAGAGCAUUUCCAACACUGUUUAACACGUUUACCUGGGUUUUGGCCAAAAGAUGACUUAAACAAUGGCAACACUUCCAAACAUCCUUUUCUGACAUCCUUCUCCAUAGCGCUCGCUCAGUAGUCUUUUCUAGGGCUCUCGGUCAUGGGGCGCGGGGUGGAGUAGGUUCUAGUGUGUGGGUCUUCUUUUGCCAUGUGGCUGCCUGCUCACUGGCCCGUGUGCGUGCCGUAGACAGUGGCCUCACCGCCAGCCCCUGUCCUGCGCUUCCUCAGGAGCCUGGAGGUCCUGGGCCCUGUAAGUGCCAGGCUGAGCAGAGCAGAGAGAAGCUGCACAGUGUCUGUGUGUGUGUGUGUGUGUGUGUGUGUGUGUAAUGGCGCCCUGUAAGUGCCAGGCUGAGCAGAGCAGAGAGAAGCUGCACAGUGUGUGUGUGUGUGUGUGUGUGUGUGUGUGUGUGUGUGUGUGUGUGUGUAACGGCGCCCGUGAGUCACUGUGCUGUGUUCCUGCCGUACCCUUCCCUCACAACCACUGGAGAGAGCCUGGACACUCAGACAGGGGGAGGGGAAGCAACUUUCACAAUCUUCUUCCAGGUCAGAUUCGUCUGCUUCUCCUCACUCUUCUGGUUAGGCCUUCCUGCUAUUGGUUUUGUCUUAUUCCAUAUUUGGAUCUUCGUUGACCAAUUUUGAGUAUCUUCUUCCUUUCUCUUCUAGACAUUUCUUCUUUCUAAACUUCCGUGUUUCUCAUUUCUUCCAACUGUAGGAAAAGCCAACUCUAACGACCGUUAAACUCUGCCUUCAGUUCUCAGCACCCUGCAGGGUGACAUCCUGAGGUACCAUCUUGGGGAAUCUGUAUAGACUGUGAAGUAGCACAUUAGGGAAGUAGAGGCAAGUUUGCUUGGGGGAGGGGUCUAUUUAAUGAUAUCAAAGUUCUGCCCACCUCAGUUCUUCCUAUACUUUCUACCAAGGAUGAUGUGAUCCAUUUUCCUUCCUUUGAGGUACAUGGCAAUCAACUUUACUCCUAAAUUUCAUAUGCUCAAAUCAUCUAAAUGGCUUGGUUAUUAGAAAGGAUAAAAUGAGCUUUUUCACUCCGGAUCCCUCUUUCUUCCCACACAUGUCUCUGUGAUCACUCCUACUAUCACUGUAGCCCCACUGUCUUCCCAUCGUGUACAACUGGACUCACCACUCAGGCCCCAACUUUGCGGUCAUUGACGUCUCACCUGCUUCCCUGUUUUCACUUCUUCCAGCAAAUGGUUAUGGUGCCCUCUGCUAUGAACAGAGCGCUGUCUAAGUCCUGGGACUACAAGGUUAUGCUGGCCUCACCUGCAGAUCUGACAGCCAGCCUGUGGACACAGCCAUAUCAACUUGAUGCUGUGAUGAUCAGCAAGGAGAAACUAGGUGUUGGGAAGACACUCCUCAAAGUCAGAUGUGAUUUCGUGGAAUGAGAGUCCAAAAGCACCCAUGACCCAUCCCCACCCCAAGACUAAUACCCAAACUGUUGGGGGACCGGCCAGGAGACUGAAGAGAAGCACAGUGGACGUUCUGUGUGCGGCUGCAUCUCAGAUUGCAGUAGCCCCUGCCAGACUCCUCACGCCCACCUGCGAUAGAACGCUGCUCCUCUCCCCACAUCCCUGCGCUCCUCUGAACCCUGGAGCAGGCAGCAGCGAAGAGUCAGGCUGGAGACUCCUCCCAAACAAGUCAAUGGCGAGCGAAGCAAGCGCUCUAGACCUGUGCGGUCCAAUGCAGCUGCCACCGGACACAGGGGGAGACCCAGCACUUGAAAUGAAGCCAGUGCAAAUUGAGAUGUGCUGUAGCUAUAAAAUACACACCAGAUUUUGAAUACUUAGUAUAAAAAGAGAGUGUAAAAUGUCUCAUUAAUCAUUUUAUGUUGAUUACGUUUUGAAAUGAUACUGUUUUUG